GCAGUAGGUGCGGUGAUUAAAGGAGCUCUGUUAGUGCUUGGCUGUCCUGGAGCUCAUCAAAAAGCCUUUGAAGGGGUGGUGCCAGUUCUCCAUCACUGGUUGGGAGUUCUGCAGUGUAAAACUUCAAAAGCAGGUUGAGCACCAGCACAGGGAGCAGAUUGCAGCCUGAUGACAGCUCUGACUCUGCAUAUGCUGCGUCCUACCCAGGGAACCUGGCUACGGAGAGUUACAGAUGGCAGAAACAGAAACUGCGUUCUCCUCUUUGAACUCUGCUGCCUUAAAGCAGCUGUUGAAAUCUGCUGCCUCUGUUCAAUGUCUGAGUGUCCUAAUGAGGAAUAAACAGAAGCAUCGAAGGGAAAAAGGAGAGAAACUCCCUGCCUGCCACAGAUCCGUUGGGGUAAUUGGAGGUUCUGCAGGUACUGGGAGGUAUAAUCUCUCCAGGUCUGUGGAUUCAUUGCCUAGAUGCAGAGAGCAUGGUGUGGAGAGCAGGUGGAGGGAUUGGUAACACUGAGAUGCUGGAGCAGCUGUGGGUGUCUGACACUGAAGAGUCAGAUGCUUUCUUGUGUCUUCGGAUGAUCAACUAUCAGUUCUUGUGACUUUCAGUCUCAGUUUCAAGGUAGGAAUAUUGCCAUUGCAACCACCAGGAUUUUUUUGGUCCUAAAAUGAGCUCUGCUCUUUUUCCCUACUCUCUCCAGAAACAUCUUGAGCAGGAAGCCAAUUUCACACUUAUUCCCUUCUUCUUUUUAAUGUUCAGCUAAUUGGAGCUAUGUGUCUGGAGCUGCCUGGUCCCUGGAGCAUUCCCAUGAUGCUUGUCCCACUGUGGGAGGAACUCAGCUGGAACCCUGCACACCAUCUGGGAGAAGAAGAAGCCUCAGAGCUGUCAGAAGGUUUAAUGGACUUAAGACAGAUGUUGAACAGGGCUCUGUGUAACAAGGGAGUUCCAGGGAUGCUGAGGUGCUGCAGAAGGUGCAUCUCCUUGCUGGGGAGGUGGAUGUGAUGCUCCUGCUGGGAUGGAGACGAGCAAAUGUUUCCAUCUUCUGUGCUGACAGUGCUGCCAUUACCAGGUGCUGUGUUGUCAAUGGUAUGAAACUGAGCUCUUUGAAGAUCUCUCGGUAACACUUCUUGAAGUGUCUUUCCUAAUUGCUUCCUUGCCUCUGAAGUAGUUGCUUUGUUCAGUUCUUGUCUCAAAUAUUGUAUCAAAGUGUUAUAAAGUGCUUUUAUUUCUAAUGAAUACUAACUAUAGUGCUAUGAAACUUGUCAAAAAAGCACCAUAGGGCAUGAAUCACACGGAAUAUAUUACAUGUGCCUUCGAUACAUUAAUGUAAACCGUUACUGGUUUUUUGCACUACCAGGCUGAUGACAGAUUAAUGAAUGAUAAAAUUAUUCAUACAUAACAUUAACUUAAGAUACAACUGGCUUCUUGGUUUGUCUUUUCUUAGGUACAAGUACUCGAGUUUGCCUGCUUGGCUAUGUUUCAUGCAGCAAAUGCUGCAUUCCAAUCCCUCCAAAGUGACAAAUUCAUGUUGUGUUUCCUUCACUUCUGAAAAAAAACCCAAAACAUAUUACCAGGGUUUGCACUUAAAACAGCUGUUACAUGUCUUUCCAGAGGUGGCUUUGCUUCAGUGGUAGAAAAAGCACUGCCAAGACUCAGACGUUUGAAGACUUUGAGGCUAAAGGAAUUUCAAUACUUUAUUUUGAGAGAGGAGAAGACUUCAGUGCAGGAUAGUGCUCCUAUGAGGAUGUCAUAUUAAAUGAUGUGUGACAUAACACAAAGACAAAGCACAAAAAUGGAAUAAAAAUAUGAUGGGAUGUAAGGAGAUGUGAAUUAACUUUUUGGCUUUUUCAUUCAUACAAAUAGAUGUGCAUCAAAUAAGCUAAAUUUAGUCUGACAUUAUAUAUGUGUUGGAUGAGCUGGAAGGCAGUCCAGAAAGAGUUACCCUGUACAGUGGUGUUUCCCAAGCUGUGUUGGCCUGCCUUCUUCCAGGGCAAAAUGUAAGCUGUAAGCUGAUGCACUUGCAAAUGCCAUACUAAUGCUUGGCUGAUACUAUGGACUGCUUCAGUACCUGCCUGUUUUCAGGUAUAGGAAAGCUAAUGCUCUGUUAGCGACUGAUGGGUCAGUGGUCCUUUGCAAUACUGAAUUCUCCUGGGAUUGAAUGAACUCACUAACAAAGCCUUUUACUAGCUUCAAAAGAAUCAACAACCGACCUGAAAGAGCAUCUUUCUGAACUAGAACAAAGUGAAGGAUCUUGAAAGCAAACACAUCCAGCUGCACUUGGAUUCACAGUAGAUGUAGCAGCAUUUGCAGGUGCUUCAGCUGCUGUUAUAAGCCUCAGUGUGCAUUCCCACAGCACUGGUGUAUUUGAUGUUGUUACUUAAGGAGGCUGCUGCAGGCAGUGAUGGCUGCUGCAAAAACAUCUAACAGAUACUGGCUUAUACCUGACAUUCUUCUCAGGUAAUAGAUAGAGCUUUAUAGAUAAAACUAAAUGCUCUUCAGUACUGUGUGUCUCUUUAGUUACUAAAGUACCGUGCUGUGUUUGAUGGGCGUAUGGAAUAGCACAAAUCAACAGUUUAAUUAACAUCCCUUCUGUUAAGUCUGCAAGAACAUCUCUUCAAAGACUGUUAGUGACACUGACACUUAACAAGCGUCAGUCAGAAUCAACAAGCAUCCUCGAGGGACACGACUGACUUUGAAACGAUUGGCUCAGUCACUGCCGAGAAAGGUUUAACAAAGCAAGAUGGUUAUUUUGAUUUGUGUGCCGGAAAACAGCAUCAAAGAGAAGGAAGAAAGCAGGAUGGACCCCAGCAGUGUUCUGCCUUUGCAGCACAGUACAGUUCAAGCAGCUCAGCUAUAUCCUAAUGGUUACUCUGUUGUGCAAAACUCAUUUCAAAGCCUGUGCCUGUACC